GCAGGGCGCGGUGGCGUGUGCCUGUAGUCCCAGCUACUCGGGAGGCCGAGGUGGGAGGAUCGCUUGAGCCCAGGAGUUCUGGGCUGUAGUGCGCUAUGCCGAUCGGGUGUCCGCGCUAAGUUCGGCAUCAAUAUGGUGACCUCCCGGGAGCUGUGGACCACCAGGUUGCCUAAGGAGGGGUGAACGGGCCCAGGUCGGAAACGGAGCAGGUCAAAACUCCCGUGCUGAUCAGUAGUGGGAUCCCGCCUGUGAAUAGCCACUGCACUCCAGCCUGGGCAACAUAGUGAGACCCGUCUCU
rnacentral:SRP_RNA from 1 species